rnacentral:lncRNA from 1 species
AAAUGCGGACAACUGACGGAUCAAACUCGUCGUACUGCCUCUCUCCCACCCAAACUCUCUCUCUCCAUCUUUCGCACCUCGCUCUCUCGCUCACCCCCUCUCUCUCUCUUUGAAUCUUCCGGUUUAGGAGGAAAGUUAGGAUGAAAGGGAAAAAAUGAUUUGGCUGCUUUGUUAAUAGUAGAGAGGUAGAAAAAUAUGGAGAAAUGAAGCUAUUGGAAUUGUACUGAGUUGAAUGAAAAAGGAGAAUAAAGCUUCGAUUCUUCUGGUCAUGAAGAAGAACUUGAGCAAAUGAAGAAAAGCUUCAAUUGCACUGGAUAUUCAUUAACGCUUGCUUCCGAAGCUUCUGGUAAGAUUGUUUUUGCAUCACUUCUGGCGUUGUUGGAAAAGUGAAGCCAUAAGAGGAAAGAGAGUUUGUUUUAGUAAACAAAAGGUGAAAAAAGCUUCAAUUGCAUGCUAAUGGCUGCCAAAGAGAGGGAGAGAUAGGGGGGGUGUGAGGGAGAGAUUGAGAGAGGGGCAGCGGGAGGGAGGGUGUGCGAGAGGCAGCAGGAGAGAAAGGGGCGGAAGAUGGAGAGAGAGAGUUUGCGUGGAACAGAGGCACUUGAUGUGGUUAACUGUCGUGUAUUUCAAGUAUCAGACAACAAAGAGUAGUUCACUUAAAAAUAGUCCUCUUAUAUGAUGUUUGCAUUAUCGGACAUGAGAAUAAAAAAAGCUAUGGGAGAGAUGGUGCUCAUAAUUUCAGGUAAAUAAUAUCUCAUUUGAUAAUUGACCCCCGUGUCGUGUUUGUAUAUAAUUUUUUUUAAUAUUUAUCUUUGGUACAAGAAUA